rnacentral:rRNA from 1 species
GCACCACAAGAACGCGUGGAGCAUGUGGCUUAAUUUGACUCAACGCGGGAAAUCUUACCGGGUCCGGACACACUGAGGAUUGACAGGCAAUAUAUGUGACUCUUCGGAGUUUGCAUUGUUAAAUAUGCUAGUCCUUUCAUGAUUAUGUGAUAGGUGGUGCAUGGCCGUUCUUAGUUCGUGGAGUGAUCUGUCUGCUUAAUUGCGUUUCAAAUUACUUAUAAGGUAGCAAUACGCGAUGAAACUUUCAAUAGUCCUCACGGAUUCACUUGAGUCUCUC